GCUCUCAAAUUCACAGGAAUUGAACAGGAAGAAAUUUUUCUUGGCAUUCUCUAAUAUUUUCUCACUUUCUGGCAGAUUUUUCCACCAGAAGAAUAGAAAGUGUGGGGAACAGAGGAAGUCACACGUGCAUUUUGAUUUCGCAGAUGCCUACUUAUACAUGACCUUGGAGAAAAAGCCUCUCGCACAGGAAAUACAGGCUCAGCACAGAUGGGAUUUUUCAAAUGAAAACCAGAUGAAAGUAAACAGCAAUCUCGCCAUCAAAACCUAAAGGUAGGAAGACGCAGACCCAGCUCUGUGCUGUAAUAAGAUCCGCGCUGGCAGUCAAAGUAUGUUUCCAAUAACUGCACAGUUACCUUUCAUUAGAGGCCC
rnacentral:lncRNA from 1 species